CACCCAGCGACCAUGGUCUGGGGGUAGUGGAACUUGGGACUCAGAUGCAUAAUGGCAGACUUCUAAGUUCGAGUAGCAAAGCUGCUAAAACUACCCUUAGAAAUUAACACAUGUUUGUUGGGUCAGUUGGCUUAUGGGCUUUGGCCCAGAUGUUUCACAUGAUGUUCAAUAUCCAAUGAGCUGGCUCAUCCCGGGAUUAGUCAGGUGCUCAUGGUCGUAGAUCCAGUCAGGAUAAGCGAACAAGCCUGAUGCCGAAUUUGGCGUCUACAGAUUCUGUUGAUCCGUAAAAAAUGUUAGCAAUUGCAUCAGAGAACUACCAACCCUAAUAAUCUUCAUAGGUCAAGUGAAACAUUAAUAUCAAGUCACUGUCAAAAAUAUUAACUUCAAGAGAUAUUCUUGUUGUAAUAAACAAAUAUUGACAAUAAUGCAUGAUCUUUCACAUAAUUAUUUCUAAGUAUGUUUAUCGUCACAUGUAUAUGUAAUACGGUUAUAUAUCAUGCUGACUCAUUAAUUGUUUU
rnacentral:lncRNA from 1 species